UACGUAGGGUGCGAGCGUUGCCCGGAUUUAUUGGGCGUAAAGGGCGCGUAGGCGGCGUGGUAAGUCACUUGUGAAAUCUCUGAGCUUAACUCAGAACGGUCAAGUGAUACUGCUGUGCUAGAGUGCGGAAGGGGCAAUCGGAAUUCUUGGUGUAGCGGUGAAAUGCGUAGAUAUCAAGAGGAACACCUGAGGUGAAGACGGGUUGCUGGGCCGACACUGACGCUGAUGCGCGAAAGCCAGGGGAGCAAACGGG
rnacentral:rRNA from 1 species